rnacentral:rRNA from 1 species
CACGUAGGGUGCGAGCGUUGUCCGGAAUUAUUGGGCGUAAAGAGCUCGUAGGCGGUGUGUCGCGUCGGCCGUGAAAACCUGCAGCUUAACUGUGGGCUUGCGGUCGAUACGGGCAUCACUGGAGUUCGGCAGGGGAGACUGGAAUUCCUGGUGUAGCGGUGAAAUGCGCAGAUAUCAGGAGGAACACCGGUGGCGAAGGCGGCUUUCUGGACUGGUACUGACGCUGGAGGCGCGAAAGCCGUGGGGAGCAAACGGG